rnacentral:rRNA from 1 species
CCUACGGGAGGCAGCAGUGAGGAAUAUUGGUCAAUGGUCGCAAGCCUGAACCAGCCAAGUCGCGUGAGGGAUGACGGUACUAUGGAUUGUAAACCUCUUUUGUCAGGGAACAAGGCCCGCCACGUGUGCCCGGAAGAAGAGUACCCGAAGAAAAGGCAUCGGCUAACUCCGGGCCAGCAGCCGCGUUAAUACGAAGGAUGCGAGCGUUAUCCGGAUUUAUUGGGUUUAAAGGGUGCGUAGGCGGAAGGUUAAGUCAGCGGUCAAAUGUCGGUGCUCAACACCGGCCGGCCGUUGAAACUGGCAGUCUUGAGUGAGCGAGAAGUAUGCGGAAUGCGCGGGGUAGCGGUGAAAUGCAGAGAUAUCACGCAGAACUCCGAUUGCGAAGGCAGCAUACCGGCGCUAAACUGACGCUGAGGCACGAAAGCGUGGGGAUCGAACAGGAUUAGAUACCCCUGUAGUC